rnacentral:rRNA from 1 species
UACGGAGGGUGCAAACGUUGCUCGGAAUCAUUGGGCGUAAAGCGCACGUAGGCGGCUCGUUAAGUCGGAUGUGAAAUGCCUCGGCUCAACCGAGGACGUGCAUUCGAAACUGGCGAGCUUGAGUAUGGAAGAGGGUCGCGGAAUUCCCGGUGUAGAGGUGAAAUUCGUAGAUAUCGGGAGGAACACCAGUGGCGAAGGCGGCGACCUGGGCCAAUACUGACGCUGAGGUGCGAAAGCGUGGGGAGCAAACAGG